rnacentral:lncRNA from 1 species
AAUAGUCUAAUCUGAAAAGCCUCUAAUUGAACUGUCUGAAUGUAGAGUUGAUGGGACAAGUCCCCAACUAACUUUGACUACUGAACUAGCUAGAAUAAUAAUAUAAAUAACUCAAUCCUAGAAAUAUGAGGACUCACCACUAUACCUGCUGCUGAUAACCUGAGCUACUAGGUACGGUCAGGAGCCCAACGUCUGAACCUAUGAUAUGAGACAUCAUCACGCAAAAGAAAGAGUAUGCGUCAGUACUUUGAAUUUACUAGUAUGCUAAGUGAGGUAGGCUGAUAUACAUAGGUUCAUAAGCAUAAACAAUAACUGACUAAUGAUAUGUAUAUAACUGAAUGAGAGUACAUGGGUAACUAAAACUGCUGCAUAUACUGAUUAUGCAAGACUGUGUAUAUACAUGUAUACUAUAACUGAGAUCAUACUAAAACUGAACACUGAGUUUUGAUAACUGAGUAACUGAUAUUUGAGAUUACUGAUAAUGGUAUUACUGAUAACUAGGCAACUAUUUCAGAUAGUCCUGAUUCAGCAGAACUAAAAUAAGUUCUAUACUGAGUCUAAAACUGAAACUGUAACCAUGAGAGUAUUCAUCUAACCGGCAUACCCCGAUUAUAAACUGAGUUGGGUUCCAACCUGUGACCUCAGUAGGAAGGGUGUUAGAACCUUGCUAAGGGAUACUAAAAAUAUUGGGUCAACCCUAAUCUGGUAGGAAUACUCAUGAAUCAUAAAUACGAUUGCGACAACCCUAGUCUGGUAGGAGGAAUGCCCCCAUCCCUGGGUUCGCUCGUUGCUGAAUCCUACUCCUAACUGAACAUACACUGAUCACUAGAUUGUACUAAGCUUGACUGAUUUGGUACUGAUCAUGUUGACUGACUGAACUGAACCGAGUUCACUGAUUUUUGUUAUUAAGUAAGUACUACUAUUCCUGACUUUUUUACUUGGUCUAUUCUAUUGCUAUUGCAAAUAAGUAAAAAGCUAUAAUUUGGAUAAUAAAUAACCCCAGGACUCCAUAGCAUAAAGGUAAAACACAAUACUUCUUUAAAGAACAGCAAUAGUCAAUUUUUCACAAUUCAAUCACUGAGGCAAUUUGCCAAACACUUGAAGGACAUAAACUUAUACAUGAAUGAGAACACAUACUAAUAUGUCAUGAUUACAUUAUUCAAUUUACAUGGACAUUCUAUCAAACACUUUGGGAGCAUGAUUGUUACACAUAAUAAUGAAAAACACAUAAGCAUCAUGACUACAACUUAAACUUUCAAUUUCAAGGAUUAUAACAUGGGAAUUACAUCAACAACAUACAUGUUAUCUUAGGUUCAUGAAACUCAUAACAAAAUCUUGAAUUAAAUCCCAUACAACAACACAAACAUGGAUACAACCCAAAUUUGCAUAUGUAAAUUCAUGAAUCAAUAAAUUCAUAGUUUUAAAAAGGAUUCUUGAACUCCGAGGGUGGAAGAAAACCAAAGGAUAAACACUUGACAUACCUUGAUUAUUAAUUUUGAAGAGAUUAUGGUAAAUUAUUGAGACUUGAUUCUCGAUCUUGAUGAAACUCGAGCUUGUUCUUGAGAGGAUAAAGCGAAUAAUGAAUCCAAUUUUCCCUAUUUGAUGGUUAAUUUUAUGUUUUAGCUGAUUUGGGUGAGAGAAAAAGGACUAAACAUCCCCUAGGCCUCUUAUCCCAUGUAAAUGACCCUCGAGGCGCGAAUCCUAAAAAUAGGGAAUGGACCUCGCAUUUCAACUCCCAAAAAUGGGGAAUAGACCUCACAUCGUGACACCUAUAAAUAGGGAAUAAACCUCACAAUGCAACUCCCAGAAAUGGGGACUAGAUCUCACAUUGCGAGCUUAUCGCGUGACCUUAAUUUUUUAGACAUCCAAACCCACCCUUACGCUACUCUUAAAAUUCUAAAAUUCAGUCGAUAUGACCUAUUAACAUACCUGAUCAUGAAUCAACUAAAAAAUCAACAAUCCAAGGCCAGAAAUAUUGAAAAUAAAGUCAUUGAAACAUUGAUCCCAAAAAGAAACUAAGUGUCAAUACUUAGCUAAAUUUUUCUAAGUUUGGGACCUCUUUUCAUGAUAUAUAGGACUGAAUUAGACUAGGACUUUUAUGAGGUAUUACAAUAUCUCCCCCUUGGGAACAUUCAUCCUCGAAUAAGAUUGACUAAGCUGAGAAUACUACUAGACUAAACUUACAUACUGAACAUGCAGAACUGAAGCAUGAUUACCUAACAGAAACUACUAAUAAACUGAGUUUUCAUACUGAACCUACAUGACUGAAGCAUGGCUGAAUUUUGAAGACAUGACACAUGACUGAGCUAUUUCAUAAAGGUAUGCAUGAUUGAGAAUGCUAUGCAGCUGAGAAGAGGUGAGGAUAAUUGGUCUGCAUAUCUUCUUCUUAUUCCCAAGUAGCUCUCUCAACGAACUAAUUCUAACAAAUAACUUUUGACCAAAGGAACUUCUUUGUUCCUCGAUCUGUGAACCUAAUGUUCAACGAUUUCGACUGGAACUUUCUCAUAAGAAAGACUAUUCUAAACAUAUAUACCCUCUAUAGGGAAUACAAAUGCUAGGUCACCAAUGCAUUUUUUUAGUAAGGAGACAUGAAACAUUGGUUAUACUGAAGCUAUGUCUAAAGACAACUCAAUCUUGUAAGCUACUUCUCUGAAACGGCUGAGAAUUUUGUAAGGACCGACAUAUCGGGGACUGAGUUUCCCCUUCUUGGCAAAUCUCUUCAAUCCCAUCAUGGGAGAGAUUUUCAAAUACAUAAAAUUGCCAACAUUUAAUUUGAGAUCUUUUCUCCUCACAUAUCAAUAUGAUUUUUCUCGGCUCUGAGAUGUCUUGGGCCUUUCCCUAAUCAACUGAACUUUCUCUAAGGCAUCAAAUACUAGGUCAGGCCCUACUACUAUGGCCUCAGCUACUUCAAACCAACCAAUGGGAUAUCUACAUCUCCUCUCAUAAAGUACCUCAAACGUAUCCACCUAGAUACUGGAAUGAUAGUUGUUAUUAUACGCAAACUUAAUCAAAGGUAAGUGGAUAUCCCAAUACCAUUAAAGUCGAUACAUGUGCUCUCAACAUAUCUUUUAAAUUCUGAAUGGUCCACUCUAUUUGACCAUCUGUUUGAGGGUGAAAGGUCGUACUAAGGUAAACUUCUCAUAUUAGAUUAGCCAUGCAUCCCUAUCUGUCUUCCACUACUUAAACCAUGUAUGAGCCACAUCCUGUAAAUGAUAUGCAGCUAACUCAAAACUCUCACUAGUGGUUACCCACAUAAUAUCUGUGACCUUUUGCACCAUGUCAAGGAACUCUUAUGGGUCCUCUUCUAACUAAGACCCUGUAAAUAAUGGAGGGUUCAUUCGGGUGAAGUCUCAAAAUCUAGCUGCAGCAGUAUUAGCUACUGGGUUACCCUAAACAGCAGUUGGGCAUUCAUUCUAGGUUGCUACAGAAUGGGCUAGAGUGGUAAAAGUUGCUCUUAAUUCUGAAUGAGAAACAUGCUUAUCCAGAGGAUCUGCUUGAAUUAGUGGAGGGCUGGUUGGUUUCCAUUCAUUCUUACGUUAGUAUUUUUGGGAAGCAUAUUCUGUAAACAAAAGAGAAACUUGAAUUAGGUAGAGAGUUUAACUUGAGCUCACGCUCACUCACACGACAUAAAUACUCAAAAAAUGGAAACUUUUCCUAAAAUACCUCACAGCCUUUUGUCCAUAAGUGUGGCGCUCUACACACCCAUACACAAGACUCUAAUUGAUAUGGCUUUAAGAAUUCCUAGGAAUAUUUAGAACCUUAGGCUCUGAUACCAUACUUGUAACGCCUUGAGUCUGCACCCUGGACGUCACACGGUGCUUACAAUCCUGAAGGACCUCAAGUUAACCCAUGACUGGUACCUGUUGUGUGCACUAAAUAAUAAUAUUGAAAUAAUGUAGAAGUUAGGCUGAAAUUCCAUAAGAUUCAUAAUAUGAAUACUAAAAUAAAUACUAAAUACUAAUAGUAAUACUAAAAAAACUAAAUAUCUGUCUAAAAUUGUGUAGUCUGAAAAGCCUCUAAUUGAACUAUUUGAAUGUGCAGUUGAUGGGACAAGUCCCCAACUAACUUUGACUACUAAAAUAGAAAGAAUACUAGUAAAAAUAACUAUCCUAAAAAUAUGAGGACUCACCACUGUAUCUGCUACUGAUAACCUGAGCUGCUAGGUACGGUCCGGAUUUCAUACGUCUGAACCUAUGAUAUAAGACAUCAUAGCACAAAAGAAAGAGUAUGCAUUAGUACUUUAAAUUUACUGGUAUGCUAAGUGAGGUAGCCUUAUAUACAUGGGUUCAUAUGCAUGAACAAUACUAAAUGAUAUUUAUAUAACUGAAUGAGAGUACAUGGGUAACUAAAACUGCUGUACAUACUGAUUAUGCAAGACUGUGCAUAUAUAUAUAUACUAUAAUUGAGAUCAUACUGAAAUUGAAUACUGAGUUCUGAUAACUAAGUAAUUGAUAUUUGAGUUUACUAAUAACUGUAUUACUGAUAACUGGGUAACUAUUUAUAACAGUCCUCAUUUUGUAGAACUGAACUGAGUUCUAUACUGAGUCUGAAAUUGAAAUUAUAACUGUGGGAGUGUUUAUCUAACCGACAUACCCCAAUUAUAAACUGAGUUACAGUCCAUCCUGUGACUCAGUCAAACCUGUGACCCUAGUUGGAAGGGUGUUAGCACCUUGCCAAGGGAUACUAACAAUGCUGGGUCAACCCUAAUCUGGCAGGAAGACUCUUGAAUCAUAUAUACGAUUGCGUCAACCCUAGUCUGGUAGGAGGACAUCUUACCCUAUGCUUUCUAUAUAGUUUUGUAACGCAAAGACUGCUACAAAGGGUCAAACCCUCUGUUGGUAGGAAUGAGCGCAUCCCUGGGUUUGCUCAGUGCAGAAUCCUACUCCCAAUAGACACUAAUCACUAGAUUAUACUAAGCUUGACUGAACUGAUACUGAUCCUAUUGACUGACUGAACUGGACUGAGUUCACUGAUUUUUGUUAUUGACUGAGUACUACUGUCCUUGAAUUUUUUAUCGGGUCUAUUCUUUUUCUACUAUGACUAAGUAAACAACUUGAAUUUGGGUAAUAAAUACCCCCAAGACUCAAUAUCAUAAAGGUAAAACAUAGUACUUCUUUAAAUAACAGCAAUAGUCAAUUGUUCACAAUUAAAUCACUGAGGAAAUUUGCCAGUAAUACACCGUACUUCUACUUAGCUUAAAUUCAUCCCAAAGAUGUCAAAAACUUAUUUUAAAGAUGAAUCCACUUUUAUACAUCUGGUAUUUUUAAUAUUUUAACUUUAUAUCAUGUGGAAAAUUGAAUAAUCUUUCCAACAAUAUAAAAUUCUCCCAAAUUCGAUAACUGGGUAAGAAGUUAUGGAAAUUUAAAGUUUUAGUCGUAAAACACCGUCAUUUCAGCCAGUGGUGCGUUGUACCACAAGCUAAAAUGAUGCUUGUCCUUUUUCCAGUGAAUCUCUGCGAUGUCUCCAUAUCACGCCAAACUUCUAGGUCACAAACAAAGUGGUAAUGCAAUAGCUCUGCGUCGCGCCAUCCCUCAGUUUUCCCGUUGUCAAAUUCCAGUAUCGCACGGCAUCGCGCCAGGUGCCCAUUUCAAAAAAUUUUGACGAAAAUUAAAAGUUUCAUCCAGGGAUAAACAGUGUUUUCCCAAGGUUUUAACAUGUCUAGGUACGGGAUUUUAUCCCUAAAAAUGUUUUAAACUAUUAUUUUACUCACUUUUCUCCAAAUCAAGAACAUUGUCUCUUAAGAAAAACAAAACCCUAGCUCUUGAGAAUCAAGGUCAAUCUCAAGAAAUCCAUUCAAGAAAUCCAAGAACCUUCAAGGUUUCCUAUCUAAGGUAUGCAUAGUGUUCAUUCAUGGACUCCUUCCGUCCAUGAAGCACAAGAAUCUCUUUACAAAGUUCAAGUAUAUGGAUUUUUUAUGAAUUCCAUGUUGGGUUUGCUCUUGUUCAUGUUGAUAAUGACCAAUUGAAUUCUAAUCCAUGUUUGGUGAUAAAUUUUAAGUGGAAUUAAUUAUUAUAGGUGUAGAUUCAUGUGAACCCAUGAUUAAACCCUUGAAUGGUGAAAUUAGAACUGAAUCAUGAUGUUUACUUGUUGCAUAAUGUUGUCUACAUAUACUAUGCUCACUAUGUGUUUGAUUAAAUGCCUAUGUGAAGGAAAAUUGUCAUACUAGUAUGAUAAUAUGAAAUCCUCAUUCACAUACAAGUUCAUGCAUGCCAAGUGUUUGAUGAAAUGUCUUAGUCAUUGGAUUAUGGAUAUAUGUGUAGCCUUUUGUUGUGCUUUGGAAUUUAUACCAUGAAUUACUUUUAUGAUAUCGAGUCUUGGGGGUAUUUAAUACCCGACAAUUUAGCUAUGUGCCUAAAGCCAAGGUCAUGUUUCCACGAUACUCUCAGUCAAGUCAUGAUCCAUAGACUUUAGUCAAUCAUGUGACUCAGGAAAGCUCAAUAACUCAGUAAUCUCAGUUGUAUUCCAUCAGUCAAUGGAACUCAGUGAACUCAGUUCAGUUCAAUUAAUUAUGUUCAGUAUGUAUUCAAAUGGGAGUAGGAUUUAGCACCAAGUGAUCCCAAGGAUGAGGACACACACUAACAGAUGAGUGUGUGAUCCUUAGAAGCAAUCCUUGCAUUUCGAAACUAUGUAGCCAGCAUAGGUUGAGACAUCAACACUGACAGAUGAGGUUUGAUGAGGUGGAUAAAUUGUGUCAAAUAAGAGUCCCAUGGUUCCCUUUUGGGGACAUUGACAGAUGAGGGUCACUUACAGUUUGUCCUUACUAGUGGCACGGUAUUGACACCUUUCCAAUUGGGGUUACAUAUUAGACCCUAACACAGCUAUAAUAGCUUAUUAGAGGCAUGUUGGUUAGAUGACUACUUCCCACAGUCUCAGUCUCAGUAAUAGAACUCAGAUAGUUCUACAGAAUUCAAGAUUGUCAGAUACAGUCAACUUAGAACAGUACAAAACUCAGCUAGUUCCAUCAGAACCUAGACUAUUAGAUAUUGUCGCUCAGUAUCAGUUAUAGUAGUUAUAUAAUUAUCAGCAUCUCAUGUUGUUAGUACUCAAACUCAAUAAUCAUGUUAUCACAAAUUCAGUUACAGUCUCUUAUUCAUGCAUGUAUUCUCAGGUUAAUGUUAUAAAGUCAGUUAGUACAGUUCAUACAAAUGUACCCUUUACAUUCAACCUACCUCACAUGCAUACCAGUACAUUCAAUCGUACUGACGCAUUUGAGCUACGAUGUUUUAUACCAUAGGUUCAGAAUCACGAGCUCCAAAGCAUCAGUAGUAGCUAGAUUUAGCGGUGAGUCCUCAUCAUUCGAGGAUAAUAUUACUAGUUAUUUCAUUAAUUUAGUUUAGCUUUUAGUAGAUGGAGAUAGUUGGGGACAUGUCCCAUUAACUCCUUAGUCAGACAGUUAGAGGCUUUUCAGACUAUCAUGUUCAAACAGUUUAUUUCAGUUGUUUUGGGUAUUUCAUAUCCCAUCCAAUGUAAUGUUUUAUCAGUUAUGUUAUAGUUUUGAACCUUAUGGCCUUUCAACCUUUAUUUCUACAUUUAUACAGUAUAUUAUGCAGUGUUCAGGUACAAAUAUCAGUCAUGGGUUAGCUUGUGGUCUUCGGGGUCAUGAGCACUGUGUGGCAUUCCGAAUACCAGAUUCGGGAUCUUACAUUUCCAAAUACUUGAAGGCCAUAAACUUAUACAUGGAUGAGAAUAAAUACUAAUAUGUCAUGAUUACAUUAUUCAAUUCACAUGGACAUUCUAUCAAAUACUUAGGGAGCAUGAUUGUUAUACAUAAUAAUACACAACACAUAAGCAUUAUGACUACAACUUAAAACUUUCAAUUUCAAGGAUUUUAAUAUGGGAAUUACAUCAAUCAACAUACAUGCUAUCUUAGGUUCAUGAAACUCAUAAUAAAAUCUUGAAUUAAAUCCCAUGCAACAACACAAACAUGAAUACAACCCAAAUUUGCAUAUGUAAAUUCAUGAAUCAAUAAACUCAUAGUUUUAAAAAGGGUUCUUGAACUCCGAGGGUUAAAGAAAAUUUAUGGAUGACCACCUAACAUCCUUGAUUAUUACUUUAAUGGAGAUUGUGCUGAAUUCUUAAGACUUGAUUCUCGAAAUUGAUGAAACUAGGACUUUUUCUUGAGUGGAUUGAGUAAAUAAUUAAUGCAAUUUCCCUAUAUACCCUUUAUAGGGACAACAACUGCUAGGUCACCAAUGAAUUUCUUUAGCAAGGAGACGUGAAACACUGGGUGUACUGAAACUAUGUCUGAAGGAAACUCAAGCUCAUAAGCUACUUUUCUGAAAUGGAUGAGAAUUCUAUAAGGACCCACAUAUCAGGGACUGAGUUUCCCCUUCUUUCCAAAUCUCUUCACUCUCUUCAUGGGAGAGAUUUUCAAAUACACAAAAUUGACAACAUCUAAUUCGAGAUCCUUUCUCCUCACAUCUGCAUAUGAUUUCUCUCAGCUCUGAGCUAUCUUGAGUCUCUCCCUUGAUCAAUUGAACUUUCUCUAAGGUAUCAAAUACUAGGUUAGGCCCUACUACUACAGCCUUAGCUACUUCAAACCAACCAAUGAAAGAUCUAUAUCUCCUCUCAUAAAGUGCCUCAAAUGGAGCCAUCUGGAUAUUGGAAUGAUAAUUGUUAUUAAAUGCAAACUCAAUCAAAUAUAAGUGGUCAUCCCAACUACCAUUAAAGUCGAUGACACACACUCUCAACAUAUCUUCUAAAAUCUGAAUCGUCCUUUCUAUUUGACCAUAUGUCUAAAGGUGAAAGGCCGUGCUGAGGUGAACUUAGGUACCAAGACCCUUUUAGAAGGAUUUCCAAAAGUGAGAGUUGAACACCAUGCAAUCUAGCCAACUCUCUAACAUAGAUCUUGGCAAAUCCUCAGCUGAGUAAGAGGUAUGAACUGGCAAGAAAUGGGCUGAUUUGGUAAUUCUAUACACAAUGACCCAAAUCGAAUCAUGCUGACGACGAGUUUGAGGCAAAUCCAUCACAAAGUACAUGUUAACUUCCUUCCCUUUCUAAGUGGGAAUACUAAACUCUUGCAUAGACCCAGUAGGAUUCUAAUGCUUGAUCUUAACCUAUUGACAUAUUGAGCACUUAGCUUGAUUUUAACCUAUUGAAAUGUUGAGCACUUAGCUACAAACUUUGCAAUGACCCUCUUUAUCCCACUCCACCAAUAGACUUCCCACAAAUUACGGUAUAUCUUAGUGGCCACUGGUUGAAUCGAGUAAUGUACACCAUGCGCUUCUGCAAGAAUCCAUUGCCUCACGCCAUCCAUACAUGGAACACAUAGUCUACCCUGGCAAUGCAAUACACCAUCUCACCCUUGGGAGAAAACCUCUACUUUUGAUCUCUGAUUGACUCUUUUAGAUUAACUAAACUGGGAUCUCUUUCCUGCUUUGCUUUUACUUCAAAAAUCAAAGAUGAUUCCAAACUAUUCUACACCCAAACACUACCCUCAACUGAAUCAACCAAACGAACACCCAACUUGGCAAGCAAAUGAACUUCCUAAACUAACUUUUUCUUACCAUCUUCAACGUGAGCAAUACUACCCAUGGACAAUCUAUUGAGAGCAUCAGCCACUACAUUGGCCUUGCCAGGAUAAUAUAGAACACUCAUGUCAUAGUUUUUCAACAACUCUAACCACCUUUUCUGAUGCAAGUUCAAGUCUUUUUGAGAGAAUACAUACUAUAAACUUUUUCGGUCUGUGGACACAUCAACAUGUACCCCAUACAAAUAGUACCUUUAUAUCUUUAAGAAAAAUACUACAGCUGCUAGCUCAAGAUCAAAUUUACCCUUAUACAUUAAAACACACCCAAAACCAACUCUGGAAGCAUCACAAUACAAAUAAAUCAUUUUGAACCGUCAGGAAAAGUCAAAACUAGGGCUGUAGUAAGCCUAGUCUUCAACUCCUGAAAACGCUUCUCAUAAGAAUCUGACCACUGGAAUUUGAAUUUCUUCUUAGUUAAUCUAGAUAUAGGGGAUGCAAUAGAUGAAAAUUAUUCAACAAACCAUUGGUAAUAGCUACCCAAACCCAAGAAACUUUUGAUAUCUGAUGGAGAGAUGGGUCUGGGCCAGUUUCUCACUGCUUUAGUCUUUUGGGGAUCCACUCAAAUGCAAUCACUGGAAACUAUAUAACCAAGGAAAGCUAUUGACCUUAUCUAAAAUUUGCAUUUACUGAAUUUGGCAAACAACUAAUGGCCUCUGAGAGUCUAUAAUACUAUUCUAAGAUAGUUUUCAUGAUCAUUUUGUUGCGGGAGUAGAUAGGAAUGUCAUCAAUAAAGACUAUAAUGAACAUUUCCAAGUACUGCUUCAACACGCGGUUCAUCAAGUCCAUGAAAGAUGUUGGGGCAUUGGUAAGACCAAAUGACAUGACUAGGAAUUUAAAGUGACCAUACCGAGUUCUAAAAGUUGUUUUUAGAAUGUCACAUUCUCUGACUGUGAGUUAAUGAUAGCCUAAUUUGAGGUCUAUCAUAGAAAAGUAACUGGCACCCUAAAGUUGGUCAAAAAAGUCCUCAAUUCUGGGAAGAGGAUACCUAUUCUUGACUGUGACUUUGUUCAACUGACGGUAGUCUAUACACAUUUUAAGACAACCAUCUUUCUCUUGCACGAAUAAAGCAGGUGCACCCCACGGAGAAACACUGGGCCUCAUGAAUCCUUUAUCUAGGAGAUUCUUCAAUUUCUCCUUUAUUUAUUGAGCAUGGACCGUAAACCUAGCCAAGUCCAUCUCUUUAAUUAGCAUUGCGGUCCUACACUCCUUGACCACACUGUCAGAUACCCCAGACACAAACUUACUCAUCUUAGAUCUAUUAUCAACUAUCACAUGAGAAGUAUAUCUGGCUAACUGAGUAAACUUGAGAGAAUACUCCUUUACUUUCAUGUUGCCCUGCUUAAAGUUAAUGAAUUCUAACACCUUAGAUUCCCUCAACUCCAAUGGGAAGAACCGAUCUAGAAAGGCAGUAGCAAACUUCUCCUAUUUUAUAUGCCCUGCAUCUGUGGCCCUAUCUGUCUUCCACUGCUUAAACUAUAAAUAAGCCAUAUCCUGUAACUAAUAUGUAUUUAACUCAGCACUAUCACUAGUGGUUACCUCCAUAAUAUCUAUGCCCAUCUACACCAUGACAAGGAACACCUAUGGGUCCUCGUCAGACUUAGACCCUGUAAAUAAUGGAUAGUUCAUUCGGGUGAAGUCUUGAAUUCUAGAUGAGGUAGUAUUGGCUACUAGGUUAGCUUGAAUAGUAGCUGAGUGUUCAUUUUAGGCUACUACAAAAUGGUCUAGAGUGGUAAAAGCUUCUCCGAAUUCUACGUGAGAAAUAUACUCCUCCAGGGGAUCUGCCUGAAUGGGUGAAGGUGUUGGUUGGUUUCCAGUUCUUUUUCUGUUGAUCUUUUUGGGAGGUAUAUUCUAUAAAUAGAAAAGAAAUUUAAAUUAGGCAGAGAGUUUAACUUGAGCUCACGCUCACUCAUAGGACAUGAAUACUGAAAAAAGGGAAACUUUUCCUAAAAUGCCUCAUAGGCUCUUGUCUAUAAGUGUGGCGAGCUACACACCCAUGCACAAGACUCUACUUGACAUAGUAUUAAGAAUCCCUAAGAAUCUUUAGAACCUUAGGCUCUGAUAUUAGGUUUGUAUCAUCCCAUUUUUGCACCCUGGAUAUCACACGGUGCUUAUAAUCCCAAAGGACCACAAGCUAACCCAUAACUGGUACCUGCUAUGAGCACUGAAUAAUAAUACUGAAAUAAUAUAAAAUUAAGGCAGAAAUUCCAUAAGGUUCAUAAUUUGAAUACUGAAAUAAAUAUUGAAUACUGAUUGUAAUACUAAAAAACUAAAUAUUUGUCUGUAAUAGUCUAGUCUGAAAAGCCUCUAAUUGAACUAUCUAAAUGUUGAGUUGAUUGGACAAGUUCCCAACUAACUUCGAUGACUUAACUAGAUAGCAUAAUAAUAUAAAUAACCCUAUCAUAAAAAUACAAAGACUCACCACUGUAUCUUCCGCUGAUAACCUAAGUUGCUACGUACUAUCAGGAGUUUGUGCAUCUGAUUCUAUGAUAUGAGAUAUCAUAGCACAAAAAAAAGAGUAUACAUCAGUACUUUAAAUGUACUAGUAUGCUAAGUGAGGUAGGAUUAUAUACAUGGGUUCAUAUGUAUGAACAAUACUGACUAAAUGAUAUGUAUAUAGCUGAAUGAGAGUACAUGGGUAACAGAAACUGAGAUCUCAUUGAAAUUGAAUACUGAUUUCUGAUAACUGAGUAAUUGAUAUCUGAGUUUAUUGAUAACUAUAUUACUACUAACUAGGAAACUAUUUCUGACAGUCCUGAUUCUAUAGAAUUGAACUGAGUUCUAUACUGAGUCUGAAACUAAAACUAUAAAUAUUGAAGUAUUCAUCUAACAGACAUACCCUGAUUAUAAAUUGAGUUUGUGUCCAACCUGUGACCCGUUCCAACCUGUGACCCCAGUUGGAAGGGUGUUAACACCUUGCCAAUGGAUACUAACACUGCUGGGUCAACCCUAAUCUGGCAGGAAGAGUCAUGAAUCAUAUAUACUAUUGCAUCAAACCUAGUAAGGUAUAAGGAUGUCUUACCCUAUGUUGUCUAUGUAGUUAUGUAAUGUAGGGACUGCUACUAAGGGCCAAACCUUCUGCUGGUAAGAACCUAUCCCUGGGUUCGCUCGGUGUUGAAUCCUACUCUCAACUGAAUAGACACUGAUAAGCUUCACUAAACUAACACUGAUCGUGUUGACUAAUAGAACUGGACUGAGUUUACUAAUUUUUGUUACUGACUGAGUACUACUAUUCUUGACUUUUUUACUCGGUCUAUUCUAUGUCUACAGCGACUAAGAAAACAACUAGAAUUUGGGUAAUAAAUACCCCUAGGACUCAAUAGCAUAAAGUGAAAACAUAGCACUUCUUGAAAGCAUAGAAAUAGUCAAUUGUUCAUAAUUCAAUCACUGAAGUAAAUGAGAACACAUACUAACAUGUCAUGAUUAAAUUAUUCAAUUCACAUGGACAUCCUAUCAAACCCUUGGGGAGCAUGGUUGUUAUACAUAUUAAUGAAAAACACAUAAGCAUCAUGAAUACAACUUAAACUUUUAAUUUCAAGGAUUUUAACAUGGGAAUUACAUCAAUUAACAUACAUGCUAUCAUUGGUUCAUGAAACUCAUAACAAUAUUUUGAAUUGAAACCCAUACAAUAACACAAACAUGAAUACAACCCAAAUUUGCAUAUGUAAAUUCAUAAAUCAAUGAAGUCUUAGUUUUAAAAGGGUUCUUGAACUCUAAGGGUGGAAGGAAACCCAAGGAUGAACACCUAACAUACUUUGAUUAUUAAUUUUGUGGAGAUUGUGGUGUAUUCUUGAGACUUAAUUCUAGAAUAUGAUAAAACUAGGGCUUGUUCUUGAGAGUAUUGAGUUAAUAAUGAAUGCAAUUUGCCCUAUUUGGUGUUUAAUUUUAUGUUUAAGUUGCUUUAGGUAUGGGAAAAAGGACUAAACCUCCCCUAGGCCUCUUUUCCCGUGUAAAUCACCCUCAAGGCAUAACUCCCAGAAAUGGGGAAUGGACCUUGCAUUGCGACUCACAGAAAUGGGAAAUAGACCUCAUAUGGCGACACCCAAAAAUAGGGAAUAGACCUCGCAAUGCGACUUCCAGAAAAGUGGACUGGAUCUCGCGUCAUGAGCUUAUCGCGAGACCUUACUAUUUUGGACAUCCAAACUCACCCUUAUGCUAUUCCAAAAAUUUUUAAACCCACCCGAUAUGACCUAUUAACAUCCCUGAUCAUGAAUCAACUAAAAAAUCAACAAUCUAAGGCCGAAAAGAUCAUAAAUAAAUUCAUUGAAAUAUUAAGCCCCAGAAGAAACUAAGUUUCAAUACUUAGCUGAAUUUUUCCAAGUCUAGGACCUCUUUUCAUGCUAUAUGGGACUGAAUUAGACUAGGAAUUUUAUGAGGUCAUUCAUUAUCCUUGAUCCUGAAUGAUGGGAGCUUCCUUAUCCCUUUGAAAACAUUUUCUUGCAAUAUUGCCUCUAACUGUGUCUUUUAGUAGUUAUGGUAUUUUUUAUGGUAGUUAUGCACUAAAGCUAUUUACUCAAAAUCGUCCAUGCUUGUUACACCAAUUUCACCUCAUAUAGAUAGUUCUUCAAUCUCUCAGGGCAUUGUGUUACGUAGUUUUGGUGAGAUGGAAAGUAAAUUGAAGAUUAUUAUUUUAACAUAUUUCCAAAAUACUGCAUCUGUUCACAAAUCGACCCUUCGACAUGUGUAAAAGAAAGAAACCAUGCUUUUUUGAGGUGUUCUUUAGGGUUGGAUGCUUUUUUGGUUUAUAGAAUCAAUGCUCUCUGCCAUGAUAUGAUUUUAGUUUUUGUUGCUUUCUUUCAUUCUAUGCAUUCAGUUUUCUUUCUUUCUCUAUGGAGCAUCUUAGAGCAUUUUUUUGCUGUACCGCAUCUUACUUUUCCCUGUCUAGCAUCAUUUCUAAGGUCAAGGAUAAGAGUUGGCUUCUCUAAGCCAAACAUUGAUGAGAUUCUUCCUUAUAAUUACUCUUUUAAUAAGGACUUCUUUUGUGUAAAAGAGGCUCAAAAGAGGACGACUAGAUAGUGAGUGAGUUAUGUUCCCUUAUGAGAGAGUGAUUGGGCUACUGUUCUGAGAGAUUGUGGUUGGAUUGCUGAUGUAUUCCAAGUUGAAAUACCUCAUCCUUCUAAGAUCCUUACACUAUAUCGGCCUGGUCAGAGCUUUAUUUAUAUCUAUAUGUAAGGACUUGAUUUUAUGAAAAAAAUUAUAUGUUUUGAUAAUUUUACCCCUUCCCAUAGUUGUUAUGUGUUAUUUUUGGGGUUUGCGAUGGUUGGCAAGGUUAUUGAUCCAAUUCAGAACUAUUUAUGUGAAUAUCUAGUUUUUAGAGGUUAAAAUGGCUUCUAAUAAACUUUCGUCAAAAUUGUUGUUCUAUGUGUUAGAUGGCAUAAUAGACUGUGCCAACAAAUCUAGAAUAUUAGUUUUGGGUUGGUAUCAUAGUUGGUUUGAUUUUAUAACAUUUGGAUCUCAUUUUGACCCUUGAUUUGGAAAUUUGUAAAAUUGGGUCUUGGGGAUCAAUUUUGUGAAAACAACCUCAUUUUAAAAAUUUGAAGUUGCCAUUUAGUCUGGAAUAUUGAAUUUAGUCUAGUAGCAUAUUUCAGUUGCCUUCACGGGAUUAUGAAUGAAUCCUUAGGGGUAGAUCCAUAACUUUACAACUUAGCAAAGUUGUUGAUACAACUAUAUCUAGUGUGGCUGCUUUAGUGGCCAAAGGAUCGCUAAGUGGUAGCGACCUAAGCCAGUCCAAGAAACUAUCGCUAAAGUGGAUGCUUGACCACUUUAGCGGGUCACAUCUUUAGCGAUAGGGGACCUCUUUAUCGGCCUACCCUUUUGGGGUUGCACAGUUAAGCGGUCAACCCACCUCUUAAGAAAUGAUUUCCUUUGCGAUCAUAGUUGGGAGAGUAUAAAAAGUCCUUUUCUCAAUUUAUCUUCUAUUUUUGAGACUUUGAUCUUUGGGGUAAGAGGAUUUUAGAUGAUUUCUUCCAUUAUCGAUCUUGGAUAAGCUCCAAAUCACUAUUUCAAUUAUUUUACUUUGAUUUUCAUCAUUUAAAACUCAUUAAAUUAUGAUUUCAAAAGUAGAACUUGGGAAUUUUCACUCAAAAGACCUAAAAUGGUUUUUCUUCGAUUCAAACCCCAUUUUAAACCUAUUUUCACUUGAGUUUUCCCCUAUGAAUCUCUUUAAUUGUUGGUAAGGUUUCAUAAACAAAUAUUUUGGUUUCAUCCUUUCUUUUGCAAAACCAUUUUGGCAGUCCAUUUUGACCCUAACUAAAAAAUAGAUAAUAUGGGUGUCGUUGGAUUUCUUUUGACGCAUAGAUUCUUUAUUUUUAUAUUUUAGUUGAAUUUAAGGCCGUUUAAGUGGGAAAACUAUUCAUUAAAGAGCUUUAGGCUUGAAUUUCAUUGUCACAUGGUAGGUUACGGCUUAACUUUUUUUCAAACUGAGUUGGGUAGUUAAUAUAUAUAUGUAAGAGCAUGCUAUAGGUAUGGAAUCAAUCAUAAAAAUAAUUUUAUUACUAUUUUGAGCCCAUGUGGGGCCUUAUAUUAUUGUUGUUGGUGAUUUGAGAUGAUAUUUAUUAUGUGUUACUCGUGUGGGGCCUUAUCUAAUAUUAUUGGUAUCGUUAUGCAUCAGUUAUUUCCUUUAUGACAGAAAUACCAAGUUGGGGUUUAUGUGAUAUUAAUGAUGUCUUACAUGAGUAUUUAUUCUUAUGGUACAUUUCUUAUAUGAAAUAAUGAAUGGUUGAUAUAUUUAGUAGAUUAUGAGCUCAGAUGUACAUAUAUUGAAUGGAUUUUGGGAUCUUCAUACUGGUUUGAUUAUGAGCACUAUAUCCUAAUAUCACACAUACAUUCAUGAGAUAUCAUUACCAUUGUCAAAAUAAUGAUUUUGAUAGAAAUGAUAAAUUUUAAAAAACCUUCUGCCAUAGUCCACGAUUUGUUUGAUGAUUUGUUUUAAUUGCUCCAGGAUGCUACCUUGUAUUGAUGAUUUGUUUUAAUUAUGUCCUCUUUCUUGUAUUGAUGAUUUGUUUUAAUUGUGUCCUCUUUCUUGUAUUGAUGAUUUGUUUUAAUUUCUCCAGGAUACUUCAGUUCUUUAAAGAUUGAUUUAAGGUUUGGGUAUCACCAGUUUAGGAUUAGAGCUUUGGAUAUUCCAAAGACAGUUUUUGGACUCGAUAUAGUCAUUAUGAGUUCUUGUUCAUGUCCUUUGGGUUGAUCAAUGCCCUAGCCUCAUUCAUGGAGUUGAUGAACCGGGUGUUUUAACUGUAUCUCAACCUUUUUUUUACUAUAAUUAUAGAUGAUAUCUUGGUUUACUCCAUGAGUAAGGCUGACCAUGAGGAGCAUUUGUGAAUUUUGCUUAAAAUAUUAAGAUAUGAGAAGUUGUUUUCUAAGUUCUCUAAGUGUGAUUUUUGGCUGAAGUAUGUAUCUUUAUUAGAUCAUGUUUUGACCAAGGAUGGUAUCAUGGUCAAUCCGACCUAGGUUGCAGCAGUUCAUGAUUGGCUAGCACAACUUCUUCUAUCCAGAUUCAACAAUUUGUUGGAUUAGCAGGCUAUUAACGAUGCUUUGUUGAGGGUUUUUUGUAGUACCCCAAACUUUUCUUAAGUCUAAUUUCAUCUUUAAAAUGUUAAGGGGAUGACUUCCAAAGUGAGUAAUAUUUAAAUCAUGUAGAAUUUUCUUAAUUUCAACUUUUUAUCAUAUGGGAAAUUGAAUAAGCUUUUCAAUUAUAACAAACUCAUCCAAAUUCAACUCUCAGUGAAGAAAUUAGGGAAUUUUCAGUGAACAGUGUGUCAAUUGGUCUAUCAACGCUUCGCAGGGAAGAAUGAUUUCAUAAUUGUCAACUUUUAGUAGCUCACUGUAAUUGAACUACAUCACGGUGAGUAUGGUCAUGAUACGGCUACCGCAUUGUAGUGAAGGCCAAAUCGACGUUUGUCAAAUUCUAGUGGGUCAUCGUGAUUACCCCGCAUUGCAGUGAACCCCAAAUCAUAAAUUAUCCAUGCCCAGUAGGUGAUUGCAAUUCCACCGUGUCGCGGUAAGUAUCGUGGUGGACAAGUCACCGCGUCAUAGUAAGGCCUUAAUCGGCGUUCCAGUUAUGAAAUUUUAAUUCUAAGGGCAGUUUGGUCUUUUACCCAUAUCCCCAGGUCGUGAAAACAUACGAUUAAGGGCCUUAUUAAGCAAAAUAUGCUCAUUCUUCAUCAAUUUUCCUCAAUAGAAAAGCCUAAGCCCUAAAGUUCACCAUUCUUUCUCCAAAUUAGUUCAAGAAUCUAAGUUCCUAGUCAAAGAAUCUCAAGAAUCUUCAUUCAAGAGUGCAAAAAGAGUCUCAAAAGUAGGUUGUUCAUCUAAGUUCAUAAUCUAAGGUAUGUGGGGUUUGAACAAGGACAAAUCUUUCGUCCUUGUGCCCAAAAACUUGAAUUUUAUUAAAGAUUAUAUGAUUUGCAAGUUGGGGUUUUCACUCAAACCAUCUUGUUUUGAGUUUGGAAAUUUACAAGUGAUUUGAGUAUUGAAGUGCAUGUUAUCUCAUUUAAUUAUCCUUUGACUUGAAGAUUUAUAUUAUGAUUUUCACCUCCCUAUUGUGAAUUGAUAUUCUCAAAUGAUUUCAAGAUGAUUGUUGAGAACGAAGCAUCAUUAUAAAAUUCUGAACAUUUUAGUACAUAUGCUUUAAAUACCCAAGUAUGAGUUUUGACAUUGCAUGAAGAGUAUAUUAUUAGUAUGCUUUAACAAGCAAGUAUUCAGAUUUUAAAAAAAAUUGAUGUUUUGAUCCUAAGCUAAUAUAGGAAUCCACAUUAACAUACCGAUUAUGAUUUAAAUCAACAAGAAACAAAAUUGGUUUUGAUUACAAACCCUUGUGCUAAUUUAAGGUGGAUUUCCUAAAAGUUCUGAGCAAUAAGUAUAGGAGUAGUAUUUAUCACCGAGUUGGGUAUGAUACUAAGGUUUCAUGCCCCAGAACUAUGUGCUAUCGUAGGUUUCUGAUUUGCCAAUAGUGGUCUAUGAUAGUGAUUACUAAAGUUAAGGAUCUAUUCUGAUGGUAAGGGUAGAACAGAUCUCCCCAAUAUGGGCAAGACAUUGGACUCCAUGUCAGCUUACAUGGUUUAUGUUGGUAGAAGAAACUCCCAAGGUCCCCAAGGUUCCCAAGCCCAAAGUCUCCCAAGUUCCCAGAGUCCCAAGUCAAAGUCUUUAAGUUACAAAGAAGAGAAUGAUAGAAGAGUUUUUAGAAACUAACCUUAAUGGCUCACACAUUUAAUCAGAAAUUGCUUUACUUAAAGUCAUUGUUACAGACAAAUAGUUUUCAAUUCUUAGAAGAUAAAGGUGAGCUCUUUUCUACUUAGCUUACAUGAUUGCAAGAAGAACAGAAGAAUAGCUUUUAGAACUAAGAGUUAUGACUCAUGAUAAUUAUACAACAUGUUUUACUGUUUAUGAUAUAUGAUUUUGCAGCUUUUAGUUACUCAAGCUAGUGUGAGUCAUUCUAUCUUAGCAUGCAUUGUUUAUAUAAUUAUAUGUGCACUUACAUAGAUUGUCACUGCUUUACUUAUUCAUUCACCCUAUAUGCUCAGUAUAUCCUCAAAGUACUGAUCCACAUAUACGUCUAUGUGCUACAUUGUCUCAUAAUGUAGGUUCAUGUGCUCAGUCUCAGCGGCGUGAGUAAUUUUCAGCAUCUCCACCUAUACUUCCACAGUUGGUGAGUCCUCAUAGUUCAAGGACCUACUCCUUUAGAGUGUUUGAUUUAUCGCUUUCAGUUUAGUUCAAGUUAGUUGGGGGUCUGUCCCAAUGGCUCUCUAGUUCUUGAGUAGUAAAGGCUAGUCGGACUAGUUGAUGAUUUCAAGACUUUCAAUAUUUGUCAUUCAGAUAUUGUUUUUCAGUUAUUUUUGUUUAGACUUGUUAUGUCACGGUACUAUUAUUGGAGUAAUUUAUCUUGAAGUAAGCUCCAAAUUCAGUUACAGGCUCAAAGGGUUAGUUUGGGACUACUCGUAGCCUUAAGCACUGUGUGACGUCUUGGGAUGAGAUUUUGGGGUGUUACAUUUUUCAUCUAUUGUUUCUUCUUUGACCAAGUUGACACAAAAGAAAAUUUAUUUUUAGUGGUAUGAUGCUUGUGAGGUGAGCUUUCAACAUCUCACUCAAGGUUUAUUGAAUUCAGCUCCUAUUUUUUACUUUGCCCAAGGAAGUUAUGGGAUUUACCACCUUUUUUAUACUUUUGGUGUUGUUUAGGUGUCGUGAUGCAUCAGGGUAAGGUGAUUAUGUAUGAUUCUCGUCAGUCCAAGCCUCAUGAUAAGAAUUACCCUACCCAUCACUUAGAGUUAUGCGUUGUUGCAUUUGCUUUGAAGUUAUGGAGGCACUAUUUCUAUGGAUUCCAUUGCGAGAUCUAUUGAGGAUCACCACAGUCUUUAGUAUUUCUUCACCCAGUGAGAUUUUAAUAUGAGGCAGCAUCACUGGCUUGAGUUUCUUAAGGAUUAUGAUCUUACUAUUCUCUAUCAUCCGGACUAGGCUAAUCUGGUUAUGGUGCCUUGAGCCAGAAGUUGACUAGAAUGGGUAGCUUGGUGUAUCAUUUGACCUAGGAAAGGACAUUGGCCUUAGAGGUUCAAUCUUUGUCUAACCAUAUGGUUAGGGUUGAUAUUUUGACACAUUGGUGCAUUUUGGAAUUUAUGGAGGCUCAAUUUUCUUAGAUGGGGUAGAUUUGGGCUCAUUAAUUUGAUGAUGGUGAGUUAAGAGUGAUUCGAGAUAAGGUGUUAAGUGGCGAGUCUAAGAAAGCCUCACUUAACUUUGAUGGUAUAUUGAGGAUUGGAGGCUGAGUUUGCCUGGCGAGAGUGUGUGAUUGGGUGAGAUUGAUCUUAGAGGAGGCUCAUUGUUCUUGGUAUUCCAUUCAUCUGAGGGUGUCUAAGAUGUAUCAUAAUUUGAGGCAAUACUACUGGUGGGGUUAAGAUGUAGCAGAUUUUAUAGCUCGUUACCUAUGUUGUCAGCAGGUGAAGUUCAAGCAUUUGAGGCCUGGUGGUUUUCUUCAGAGGUCACCAUUCUCGAGUGGAAGUGGGAACAUAUCACUAUACACUUUAUGAUUAGGUUGCCUUAUGCCUUUCAUGGUUCUGACAGCAUUUGGGUUAUCGUUUAGCGAUUGACCAAAUCUGCUCAUUUCAUUCAUACUUAGGUGUCCUUUAGUGCUGACAGGUUGGUCCAUAUCUAUGCUUGAGAGAUAGUUCGUCUCCAUGGUACACCAGUGUCUAUUAUCUCUGAAAUAGGUUCAACUUUCACUUUUUACUUUUGGAAGGCAUUUUAGGAUGAAUUGGGUACUCGGGUUGAUCGUAGAAUAGAUUUUUACCCCUAGACCAGUGGUCAUCAAAAUGGACUAUUUAUGUUUAGGAGGAUAUGCUCUGCGCAUGUGUUAUGGACUUUUGAGGUCAAUGAGAGUAACAUUUAGCCUUGGCAGAGUUUGUGUAAUAGCAGCUACCAUUCCAGUGUUGAGAUGGCACCUUUUGAGGCAUAUAUAGUAGGUAUUGUCAAUCUUUGAUUAGUUGGUUUGAGACUUCUUAGGUUAGACAUCGAGGUACAAACUUUCUUCGUGAGUCUUUAGAUAAAGUUUAGGUCAUUCAAGAUAGACUUUGAGCGGCUCAGAGUAGACAUACGUGCUAUGCAAAUCAUAGACUUCACGCCUUGAGAUUAAGUAUUGAUGAUCGAUUUUUCCUUUAUUAAUCGCCCAUGAAAGGCGUGAUGAGAUUUGUGAAAAGGGGAAAGCUUAGCUCUAGGUAUAUCGAGCCAUUUGAGAUUCCUUGAACUAUUGGGGAUGUAGCUUACGAGUUAGAUAUACCCCUAAAUUUUUUAGUCAUUCAUUUAGUUUUUAAGUAUCCAUGCUACGAUGUUAAUUUUGGAUGAGUCUCAUGUUAUUCAUUGGGACACAGUGCAGUUAGAUGAGAGGUUGUCCUUUGUCGAGGAGCCAGUUUCAAUUUUAGCUCAGGAUGUUAAGCGGUUACAAUCUAGAGAUAUUCCGGUGCUUAAGGUAUAGUAGAUACACUAUUCUAUAGAUGAGGCUACUUGGAAGGUCGUGUAUGACAUGCAUAGUAGUUAUCCCUAGAUUUUUGCUGAUUCAGGUAUUUCCCUUGCCUUUAGUUUGAGAAUGAACUAGAUUCAUAGCGGUGGAUAUUAUAAGGAUUUGAUUUUAUGAACCUUUUUAAUAUGUUUUGACCAUUUUGCCCCUCCCUAAGGUUGCUAUGCAUUAUUUCUGGGUUGUUGUGAUGAUUGCAUGGUUCCUGAUAUGAUCUAGAAUAAUUUGUGCGAGUUUGUGGUUUUAAGAGAUCAAAAAGGCCUUAUAGUUGACUUUGGUCAACAUUUAUUGUUCUGGGUGUUGAAUGGCAAAAUUGACUAUGCUAGAAGAUCUUGAUUAUCUAAUUUGGGUUGUAGCUAGGUUGGCUUGCUUUUAUGGAUUUUGGAUAUUAUUUUGACACUUAGUUUAAAAAUUUGUGAACUUGGGCCUCGGGGGUCAAUUUUGUGAAAAGUUUUUUCAAAAAUCUGAUGUCACCAAUGAGUUUUGAACAUCAAAUUUAGUUUAGUAGCAUAUUUUGUUUAUCUUCAUGGUAUUUCAAAUGAAUACUGAGGGGACGAUCCGCAACAUUACAACUUAGUAAAGUUGUUGAUGCAGCUAUAUGUUAUGUGGCCGCCAAAGGACCGCUAAAGUGGUAGACGCCUUAGUUGCCCAGGUGUUGCUUUAGCAGACCCAGCCAGUCCAAGUGACUACCGCUAAAGAGAACGCUUGACCACUUUAGAAACCACCGCUUUAGUGGUGGGGGACCAUUUUAGAGACCUUUUUUUGGCUGGACCUUUUAAGCGGUCAUUUAACCACGUUAACGGUCAUAACAAGGAGAGUAUAAAAGUUUUUUUCCUAAUUUUUCUUUUAAUUUUGAGACUUUGAGCUUCGGUUUAAGAGAAUUUUAGAUCAUUUCUUCCAUACUGGAGCUUGGGUAAGCUCCAAAUCGCUAUUUCAAUUAUUUUGCUUCGAUUUUUAUUGUCUAAAACUCAUUAAAUUGUGAUUUCAAAAGUGGAAUUUGGGAAUUCUGGCUCGGAAAGACUAAAAUGGUUUUUCUUCAAUUUAAACCCCUUUUUAAACUCAUUUUCACUUGGGUUUUUUCCUAUGGCUUUAUUUAAUCAUGGGUAAGGUUUCCAUAAACAAAAAUUUUGGUUUUACCCUUUCUUUUCCAAAACCCAAUUCGAGGUUCCAUUUUGACACUGACUCAAAAAUAGACAAUAUGGGUAUCGUUGACUUUCUUUUGACGCAUCUAUUCUAUAUUUGUAUGUUUUAGUUGAUUUAAGUCCAUGAUGUGUGAGCAGAUGCUAACACAUUUGAGGCUUUUAACUGAGAAUAAUUACAAAGUAUAAAGCAACUUUUGUCAUUUUUAAUCGUUCUAUCUUUGAUUUUGCAGUAGAAGCCAAGAUGCAAGAGAACCAACAAGAAUGGAAGAAAAAGAGUUGAAAUCUGAAGCAAAUAGAAGAGAAGUGUGGCUAACAACAUUCCUGAUAAGUCGUCAGCACUCUAAUAAGUUAUCAGCUUUAUCGUCAGCCUUAGACAGAGAUAAGUUUUUGGCUGGAGUUCGUGAUGAUAUUCCUGAUAAGUCUUCAGCCCUAUGAUAAGUUAUUAGAGACACCGUCAACCUUAAACAAAGAAAGGACCUCAGCUGAAAGUUGUGAUGACAUUUCCCGAUAAGCCAUCAAAGAGUUGAUAAGUCGUCAGGUUUUAUCGUUAACCUUAAGCAAGAAGUGCUAAAAUUAAAGAAGGAGCUGACGACAUUUGUGAUAAGUCGUCAUACUCCUGAUAAGGUGUCACGAAUGUCGUCACUUAAUUCGAGAAAUUGCUGAACUCUGCGAUUUUAUUUCCAUAAUUAGGGUGAACUAUUUAAAGCAUAGUUUAGGGUUUUCUAAAGAUUUCCAAACCUGUUUUGGGACACACGUAUUUUGUUAUCUUUCUCUCUAGUUUCUUAGCUUGAAAUACUAUGAACUUUGGAGAGAUUUUCAUCAAUAUUUUGGGAUUUCUAUUGUGAUCUAAUCUAAGAAUCACUAGUUACUAAUCAUCGUAUGGUAAGUUCAUUUUUUAAAUUAUGAAUAUAUCUGGUUGUUUCACUUAUUACAUUAUGAGUGGCUAAAUCUCUUUAACCCGAAUUAUGGGAUCUAUGGGUUAAGCCUUGGUAAGAUGCUAUGUGUUUAAGAUUCUAAAAGUAAUAGGAAUCCUGGAUAAUUCUGAGAUUUUAAUUAUCGUCUAUUGGUUGCAAAUGAUAGAUAGCACCUGCUUUGAUUUGCUUGAGAUAAGAUAUCAAAUAUAGUAGGAAGUGAAUUAUUGACAGGGACUUAGAAACACUAAACUUCCAUUCAAUAAUUGACGUUGUAACAAGGUUGAUUAACCUGAGGUGAAGUCUAGUUAGUAAAUAUAAAUUUCCUAAGUCCGAGAGGAUUAGGUAAUCAAAUGCUUAAGUAGGUCGAGAGACAGUUAGGCAUAACUUCGAUAAAGAUAAUCUUUUGUCCUACCUACUAUAAGAAUCUUGAAUCACUGUUAGCAUCUGUCAAGUACUAAAAACCUUAGUGAACAUAAUUUUGGUUUUCCACAAACUCUUGAUUACAAACACUAAAACUAAAGUGACCAACAUUUAUUGGCUAAUCUCCAAAACCACCAUUUCAGGAAACAUCCAACUAACAGUUGAUUAAAUCGCAAACAACUUAAGUUCACACCAUAUUUCCUGUGGGAUUCGAUCCCAACCUAGUUGGGUUAUAUAUUGACAACGAUCUCUUACAUUCUCAUUAGAGAUGUGUAGUUUAAGCGUUAUCAAAAAUGGCGCCAUUACCGAGGAAUACGAUUGUAAAUUAAAGUUUGUGUGUGCUUAUUGACUGUUAGUCAAGUUUCCUAGUUUUAUGUUUAUUUGUUGUUUUUGUUUAUUGCAGGAUCUUUGUAGUUUAUGCCAAGAACUAGAAGUUCUGGAGAAUUAUUAUUACCAUUUUAUCCGAAAUCGUAAUGAAUUAAAAGAAUGGCAGACCAACAGGAGGCUGACAGGUUAGCAGCCUUAGCUAAAGCUCAGGUGAAUUUGCAGAAUGUUGGUCAACAAGUAUGAUAUCCAAAUCCUGAGGAUGAAGAUUUGGGAGACGAGGAGUUGUGAAACCCUGGUAACCCAAGGCGUGCACAGAAAGUAGUUGCCCCAGUACAGUGUAAUACUAAUAGGAACCAUCUGUUCUGAGGUAGGCAAAAUUACCAACUAGUCCAGUAUGACCUCAAUGAUGAUGAUGAUGGAAUGGAUGGAUCAGGUGCAACGGGUGCAAUUAUUCCUCCACCAUUGGCACCUGGGCCAAAAUUCAACAUUACGAGUACUAUGAUUCAACUCCUCAAUCUGAAGGGGUUGUUUGGUGGCCUUCCUGGGGAUGACCCCAACUGUAUCUGGUGAACUUUGUCACCAUCUGUAAAUCUUUUGAUAACCCAGCAGUGGGUCAAAAUGCUAUUUGAUUGAGAUUGUUUUUGUUGUCUCUGUCUGGGAAGGCAACAUUGUGGCUUAAUGAGAUGAUACUUGAUUCUAUAACCAACUGGAGGCAGUUGAAAGGAGCUUUCCUAGAAAGGUUCUUUCCGCCUUCCAGGAGGGCACAUUUGAGGGAUGAGAUUAGCAACUUUAGGCAGCUCCCAACUAAAGCCUUGCAUGAAACCUAGGAGAAAUUCAAAAAGAAGCUAACAUAGUGUCCGAACUACAAUAUGAUGGACAUAUACUUGAUGGAGACUUUGUACAGGGCUCUUAAAUCUAUGACAAAACCAAUUGUAGAUAAUGCUGUUGGUGGUUUGCUUGUUGAUCUUACAUUCCCAGAGGCUUCAGAAAUGCUAGAGAGAAUGACCAAACAAAUUAGGGCAUGGCAUACCAGAGAUGAAGAGUGUGACCAAGACAUGGCUCACCUAAAACGCAGAUAGACUUGCUAACCAAGCCUUUUUAUCAGGAAAGACUGAGAAAGUGAAAGCUAUGGGAUCACAAGAUAGAGUUGAUGAUGAUUCAGAAGAAAAAGUAAACUAUGUUAAUAAUCAGGGGGGUUUCCGAGGCAAUAGCCAAGGGAAUCAAGGUCGAAAUUAUUAUGAUAAGCCUGGUUAUAAAGAUAUAGAGCAGGGAAAUUAGAGAAAAAAUAAUUAUAGGAGCAGGCAAUAUGUCUCUCCUGGGAAUCGUGAGGCUGCUGCAACAAGUGCUGAAAAGAUUACCAUGGAGGACAUGAUGGCUAAGUUGCUGAAGGGAGUGGAGGCUACCAACUCUGGUGUGACUACCAUGAAGACCGAUCGGUCAUCUAUUAGUCAAUUGGUAAACUCACACUCCCUCGCAAUCAAAUAGUUAGAGCAGCAGAUGAGCCAACUCUCUGCAGCAUUUAACUAGAGAAUGAAUGGAAUGUUACCAAGUGAUACGAUCUAGAAUCCGUAAAAUAAUGGCUCAUGUAUGGCGAUUACCACUAGAAGUGGUAAGAUAUUACCUGGCCCUUUUGUGGGUAAAAUUUUGGUUGAAAAUGUGACUGAGGUAGAGAAUGAACCCAAAGAAGAAUGUCCAGUGGAGUCUGAGAAGCUGGAUGGUUCUGAUGAUGCUUUGGAAAACAAAAAAGAGAAGGAGAAGGAGGUAGUGUUGAAAACUCUCCCAGGACCACCACUUCCCUUUCCUCAAUGAUUGAAGAAAAAAAUUGAUGAUGCAAAAUUCAGCUAGUUGAUGGCAAUGCUCAGACAAUUGACAGUGAAUGUACCAUUGGUUGAGGCACUGAAACAAAUCCCAGGAUAUGCCAAAUUCAUGAAGAAUCUGGUAACAAAUAAGGAGGGAGCAAGCUAUGAACUGGCGGAUAAUCUCCACCAUUGUAGUUCCAUUUCUACACAAUCCUUAGUGGAGAAGAAGACUGACCCUGGAGCAUUCACUAUUCCAUGUGCAAUUGGUUCUCUAAAUUUUGAUAAGGCCCUAUGUGAUCUAGGGGCCAGUAUUAACCUAAUGCCACUCGCUGUGUAUAAGAAGUUGGGUGUGAGGGAUCCUACCCCGACGAACAUGCAAUUGGUAAUAACAGAUAGGUCUGUAAAGCAGCCGGUGGCUAUAUUACAUGAUGUAUUGGUAAAGGUGGUCGACUUUAUACUGCCUGCUGAUUUUGUAGUCCUAGACUGUGAGUGGGACUUUGAAGUGCCCAUCAUCCUGGGUAGACCAUUCCUUACAACUGGGAGAGUGAUAGUGGACAUGGAGCUAAAUGAGCUGUAGUUCAGGCUAAAUGACAAAAAAGCAAGAUUUACAAUACACUCAUCCAUGACACAGAAAAAGAAGAAAAGUGUUUUCUCAAUCGUGGAUGUAUUCUAUGAAGAUGGUAAAGCGGUACCAGCAGGUUGUCUUGGUGAAGUCUGAGUAGUCAAGAUAACUAAGUCGUACCGCGACAUUAAAUCAGGUGCUACAUGGGAGGAAACCCAUAAUCCCCGUGCUUGAUCUACUCUAGGUAUACCCUAACCCUUAGUUCAAUUUUUCUUUGAUUUUAAGUUGAGGAUGUAGGGUAAAUUGUUGUUGUAAAAUUUUGUAACUGACUAGGAGAAAUACAAGUAACUAAGGCAGUUAACUUGUUUUUGUGAUUUUUGAGCACCUCUCCAAUGGUCUGAAGGUUUAAAUGUGUGAUUUGAAGCUAAGUGUGACCACUGUGCAUCGUUGUAUGGCAUUAGUUCUAGUGAUGUAACAAUCAUUGUUAAAUAGCUGCAUAAACAGAAUGAGUAGUAACUUGUGAUAUACUUGUGUGCCAUGUGCAUGCGAGAUCUGACUUAAUCCCCUCUAUAUGUUGAAUCCAUAACUUUCCCGGUUAUUCUUACCUGAGUUGGAGGAUAGGGGUUAAGAAAAGAUCAUAGGCUGUUUUGAUAUUAGCCCACUUUUAGCCUAAAUGACAUUCCCUGUAUGUAGAAUAUCCAUUGAUCCCUACUUUGAGCCUGAUUAUCCUAUUUCUUUUUAUGACACCUAUCACCUUCCUAUUUAUAUCACAAUGAACCUGUUUUGGCCCUGGUCUUCCUUGGACACUGUGCACCUUGAUGUAGGCAAAUGGCCUAAGUUGAGGGUGGUUUUCAUAGGGGUGCGUGAUGUCAAAUAAGUAUGAAGAUAGGUAGAACAAAAGAAAAGAAUAAAAAGUUGGGUGCAGUGGAAAAGAACAAGACAAGAAAAGUUGUGAAAAAAAAAUAAUUGUAGGAAAGAUAGAACCCAUACUGAGUAAGUGUGAUCAAGAAAAGAGACGAAUAGAAAAAGGUUAAUAAGUGAAUCCCAGGAACUAGUGUAGUGUCAAAGAGGCUUAGUCACUUUAAAUAUCAUCAAGUAUCAUACCAGCCCUAGCCUGCAUUACAAGCCAAAGAGAAGACCUAUAGUGAUCUUAGCUGACCUUUCUGAAAACCUUAGUAAUGAAAAUAAAGGAAGGCCUAUGGUACUUGGCAUACACUAAUUGGAACUUCAUUCUGAGAGUGAGUGUCUUUUGAUUGUCCCCAUGGUUACAUAUAUGAUUGCUGAUAUGAGAAAAGGGGCAUUUCUUUGUUGUGAGGGCACACCAGAUAUGUUGCUAAAAGCUAACUUGUUCGGAUAGUGUAAUACUGGUCUAUUCAUAGUUGUUAUAGCUAAAUUACUGGUGUAUCUUGAUUUCUUUGUGUUUCAUUAUUGUUCUUCAAUAAUAUACACAGUUGUUCUUGAAUUGACUGACCUUAGAGAUGGUGAAGAUGUUUUGAGAUAAUAUGGAUGAUUGACUGGCGAAUGUACUUUGUAUCCUCUUGGUUAUGUUUGAGUUGCUUGAGGAUAAGAAAUUGUUUUAAGUUGAGGGUGUUGAUGUGUGAGAAGAUGCUAACACAUUUCAGGUUUUUAACUGAGGAUAAUUGCAAAGUCUUAAGAAACUUUUGUCGAUUUUAAUCGUUUUAUCUUUGAAUUUGCAGUAGAAGCCAAGAUGCAAGAGAACCAACAAGGAUGGAAGCAAAAGAGUUGAAAUCUGAAGCAAAUAGAAGAGAAGUAUGGAUGACGACAUUCCUGAUAAGUCAUUAACACUCUGAUAAGUUAUCAGCUUCAUCAUCAGCCUUAGACGGAGAUUGGUUUUCUGCUGGAGUUUGUGACGACAUUCCUGAUAAGUCGUCAGCCCUGUGAUAAGUUAUAAGAGACACCUUCAACCUUAGAUAGAGAAUGGACCUCAGCUAAAAGUUGUGACGACAUUUCCAAAUAAGUCAUCGAAGAAUUGAUAAGUCGUCAGGUUUCAUCGUCAACCUUAAGCAGGAAGUGCUAAAACUGAAGAAGGAGCUGACGACAUUUGUGAUAAGUUGUCAUACUCCUGAUAAGGUGUCACGAAUGUCGUAACUUAAUCUGAGAAAUCGCUGAACUCUGUAAUUUUGUUUCCAUAAUUAGAGUGAACUAUUUAAAGCAUAGUUUAGGGUUUUCUAAAGAGUUUGAAACCUCUUUUGGGACACACGUGUUUUGUUAUUUUUCUCUCUAGUUUCUUGGCUUGAAAAACAAUUAACUUUGAAGAGAUUUUCAUCAAUAUUUUGGGAUUUCUAUUGUGAUCUAAUCUGAGAAUCACUAGUUACUAUUCAUCUUGUGGUAAGUUCAUCUUUAAAAUUAUAAAUACAUCUAGUUUAUUCGCUUAUUACAUUAUGAGUGGCUAAAUCUCUUUAACCUGAAUUAUGGGAUCUAUGGAUUAAGUCUUGGUAAGAUGCUAUGUGUUUAAGAUUCUAAAGGUAAUAGGACUCCUUGAUAAUUCCAAGAUUUUAAUUAUUGUCUAUUGGUUACAAACGAUAGAUAGCACCUGCUUUGAUUUGCUUGAGAUAAGAAAUCAAUUAUAGUAGGAAGUGAAUUAUUGACAAGUACUUGGAAACACUAAACUUCCAUUUAAUAAUUGACAUUGUGACAAGGUUGAUUAACCUAAGGUGAAGUCUAGUUAGUAAAUAUAAAUUCCCUAUGUCCGAGAGGAUUAGGUAAUUAAAUGCUUAAGUAGGUCGAGAGACAUUUAGGCAUAACUUUGAUAAAGAUAAUUUGUUGUCCUACCUACUGUGAGAAUCUUGAAUCACUGUUAGCAUAUGUUAAGUACUAAAACCCAUAGUGAACAUAAUUCUGGUUUUCUAUAAACGCUUGAUUACAAACACUGAAACUAAAGUGACCAACAUUUAUUGGCUAAUCUCCAAAACCCCCAUUUCAAGAAACAUUCAACUAUCAGUUGAUUAAAUCAUAAACAACUUAAGUUCACACCGUAUUCUAUAUGGGAUUCGGCCCCAAACUAGUUGGGUUAUAUAUUGACAACGAUCGCUUACAUUCUCAUUAAAAAGGUGUAGUUUGAGCGUUAUCAGGCCAUUCGAGAGGGUAAUGCUCCAUGUUGAAGGUUUUCAGGUUUGGAUUGUGUCAUCACAUGGUAGGUUAUGGCUUAACUUUCUUUAUAUUGGUCUAAAUAGUUAAUAUAUAUGUAAAAGCAUACUAUGGGUAUGGAAAAUCAAUCAUGAAAAUAAUGUUAUUACUGUUGUGUGCCCGUGUGUGGACUUAAAUUGUUGUUGGUGGUAAUUUGAGAUAAUAUUUGUUACGUGUUACUCGUAUGGGGCCUUAUCUGAUAACAUUGUUAUCAUUAUGCAUUAGUUAUUUCCUUCAUGAUAGAAAUACCAAGUUGAGGGUUAAUAUAAUAUUAAUGCUGCCUUAUAUGUAUAUUUAUUAUUAUGGUACAUUGCUUAUACGAAAUCAUGGAUGGUUGAUAUAUUGAGUUAAUUUUGAGCUCACGUUAACAUAUAUUGAAUGAAUUUUGAGAUCUUCAUACUGGUUUGGUUGUGACCAUUACAUCCUCAUAUUUCAUGAGAUAUUAAAACCAUUGUGGAAACACAAAUUUUGAUAGUAAUGAGAUAUUUUUACAAAACCCUCUUUUGUAGCCCACGAGUUGGGGAAGAGAUAUAUAUAUAUAUUCAGAUUGGUAUUGAGUAUGAGAAAGUAUAUGGGUUACGAACCCCAUAUGGGUCCUACCUGGAAGCAUUGAGGCUCGGUAGGUGUAGACGGAGGUUAUUUGAUAACUUCAAUCACAUCACAUCAUCAUUAUCAUCACCAUUGCAUUUCAUACAUUAUGCAUCUUCAUUUUUGUUCUUUUGUGAUUAAUUCAAUGCAUAUCUACUUUGUUUUUUAUGUAUCUGUCUUUUUCUUUUUGCGCUAUAUUUAAAAUUGUUAGUGAAUGUGGUGUAAGCUAUCAUUUGGGACAUUUUUUUACUAUAGGUGACGUGCUCAUAGUAUGUGUUUAUCUAUCUUAUUUUCUACUUUGCUCAGUCGACCUAUAAUACCUACUGAGUACAAGUGCACCGUACUCAUCCCUACUAUGCCCUUUUAGUGAAGAUCUAGGUACGAGUGCGCUGUGUGGAAACUGUGAUCAUAUGGUUGAUCUUUGAUACUUUGAGUUAUUGGAAGCUCUACACCCUUAGAGUCGACCUUAGACCUCCUCUGAUACAGUUUGUGUCUUAUUUUGUAUUCAGAGACAAAUUCAUGGUUUACGAAUUUUUUGUUGUUCUAAAUUUUAAGUUUUAUUAAGAUUGUUCUUACAUCGUGACACUAGGUUUUUGGACAGUUGUUGGUUUCAUUAUUAUUCAAAAUUCUACUAUUUUCGUGUAUGUUUGGUAUGACUUUACUAGAGGAGUCUCAUUGUGGAGAUUGUAUAUGAUUUUACUCUUACUUAUCAGUUUGGGUGAUUGGAUUACCUGUCAAGUUAGCCACAAUAAGUGCCAUCAUGACCUUAGUUUUUGUGUCAUGACACUAUCCAUUCAUAAUGGGCCUUACUGACCUAUAGACGGAGUGAUUACUAAAUUAAUAAUAACUUUAUGGUGUUCCUUGAUCAAUUUGGCCCAGGGGUCUAGAGUAUCUGUAUAUGCCUUUGAGUUCUGGUUGUUUUUGUGGGUGAGGAGUUUUCUUUGACACACCUAUAUCAUUUAUUAUUCUCAUAUGGUUAUAGAUAGGAUAAUUCAGCUAUCUGGAUGCAAUAAUAGGUCAUUCUUAAGUAGUUUGGAUGAUUUCAGAGAUCGAGGUUAGGUCAAUGAUGUCACCCAAAUUACACCUCCAAGAAAAUAUGAAGCAGUCGCUUGUCAAAUAUAGAACCCAACUACGUUGGGGUCAAUCCCAUGAGGGAUAGGUAGGAAAUAUUUCAUGAGCUUACUGAUGGUAUUGGAAAUUGCAGAAAGUAAAAUGGGGGUUUGGUGAAAAUAAGGGUAACAAUAACAAUGAUGGGUAAUUAGGGUUGUUAUUAAUAUAAGACGAUCACUAGGAUUGUGUUCCGCUGACUUAAUAACUUCAUAGACUGUUCAUGCAUGUAAAAAUAUCUUGAUGUGUUGCAUGCAAAAUCUAAUAAGUUAUGUAUAACCUGAUCGUCUCUCAAACUUGGUUUGGGUGAAUUUCACUCCUCUACUUUCAGUAUUAGAAUGUCGCAUUGCUAGACCUUAUUUUAUGAUCUCAGAUUAACAAUCUUCUCUCAAUCUCAAGUUAAUUAGAUCAAGGUUAAUAGCUUCAAAUUACUAUUGUGAUCUCCGUUUCCUAAUAUCUACUUCUCUCUCGAGCAAGUACAGGAGAGUUCCUAAAGUUUGCAACCGUUAAGAAAGAAAUCAAAACAAAGAAAAUCCCAAUACAUGUAAGAACACCGAUCUAGAAUGACUUUCCACUUGGCCAGCUUCGUUAAUUCAUCAGGAUUCCCACAACCCUAUUUAUAAGGUUUAGCUACUCAUGAUUGUAAGAUAAGCAUAGUUUUAAUAGAUGAAGCUAUAAUGAUGAACUUACAUAGAUUAAGAAUGAAAACCCAAAAUCUCAAAUUAAUCGUAGAACCUAAAAACCAAGAACAAUAAUUCCAAGACCAAUAAUAUAUCUCAAAACUCAAAAUAAUUUUUAAAAGUGUAUAAAGUGUGUAAGCUGAUAAUAAAACAUCCAAAGGGUAUUUAUAGAUACAAAAGAAACCAUAUCCUAAAAAGUGUAGGAAACUAGAGUCGACAUCAACUCAUGAUUCGUGGGUUGAGUUGUAGGUACAACCCACGAAUCGUGUCUUGGAUCAUGGAAAUCAGAGUGAAAUCUUCAACUUGGUAGAAUCUCCUACCUAAAAGGCAACCUACCAGUUGUAGGUGGUACCUUCUCCUCGUAGGUAGGCUCGUGGGAAUCAGACUGUAUUUUCUAUCUUCAAAACUCAAACCAUGUGUCACCUUAUAGCUCAUAGGUACAACCCACAAGUCGUACGUUGACUCAUGGGUAGCCUUCGUAGCAACCCUUCACCCUUUUUUAUCAUUCUUUGCUACAAACUCUAUUUUCCUGCAAAAUCAACACAAGCACACAUCACAUACAACAAGAAUACCUAAGUACUUGCAUAAUUUCCUUAUUUUAUGACUCUAAAGUGCCAUGAAAUCAUGGAACAUCAAUUCCCUCAACUUAGAUCGUUUGCAUGUCCUUGGGAAACUAACACAAAACUUAACAAACACGAUGCUUAACUAAAAGAAGCCUAAGACACCUACAGCAGUCAACUCAUUUUAGCUCUCAAAUUCAUUGCCCCCUCCUAUUCAUAACUUUCAAAACCACUAUGUGGAUCCAUGUAGAAGAAUAGUAUGACGCAAAAAUAGUCAAGUGAUGACAUUAUAUUAGCAACAAACAACCACGCGUAUAUGCAAUUGACACUACCCAAACAAAUAAGUAGUUAACAAUAAAACUCAUGUACCCUAAUAGCAAGGAAUUCCCGACUCGAAUAGGAUCAUAAUGCAUGUCAAUGUAGGGACUACAUCAAACACUCACACUCUCAAAGAAGUUCAAACAAUAUACAUAGAAUACCAUAGGCUUGCCUUUGGUAUCUAUACCUUAGUUUUUCGAAUAGGCGGACUGGGAUCACUAUAGGAUGUUUCGAGGCUUGUAAUGUAGGCUCAGGGGUAGGUAUGGUACGUAUGAGACAUAGUGACUCACCGUCCUUGACACUACACUUACAUUAUUGGCUCCACUACUUAAUCAUGCUUCUUUUAUUCUCUCUUUUUCUCUUUUAUUACUAUUCAGAUUAGGUAUGGUUUCCUUCAUUCUUUGCAUUUAUAUUUUUUCUUUUUCUUUUAUUUUUCUCUUUCUUUGCUUUCACACUUUUCUACCACACCCAACCCUACUUUCUUUUCUUUUAUUCAACAUCUUCUUUAUACCCAUCUUCAACUAUGCACCCCUACAAUAGCAACCCUCAACUUAGGUGAUUUGCCUGAGUUGAGGUACAUAGUGUCUAAGGCGGGACAAAGGCCAACACAUGUUCAUUAUAAUGAAAUAAGAAGGUGAAAAGUUUAAAACAAGAAAUAGGUCAAUUUAGACUCAAAUCAGGUAUCAGUAUCUAUAUUUAGUCGGUAUUUUAAGCUACGAGUGAACUUAUUCAAACAUGGCCAAUGAUGAUGUCCCAACUAAAUAUCCUACAGCCUAGGCAAGACUAACUGGGCAAGUUCUAGAUUAAAUACACAAAGUAAACUAGGUAAAUGUCUCACAUACAUGAUAUAGGGUUACAUUAUCAACUACUACCUAACUGGUUCAUGCAAUACUAAGAUAUGGUUAUUUUGUCCCUAAUAUUAAUGCCAUAAUAAGAUUCAACAAUAGUCACACAUAUAUUCACAACACACAGUUAACAAAAAUUUUAGGAGGGGUAUCAUUAAACACAUAAAAACACAAGACAUUUUGACUGCACUUUUCUUUCUUAUUUUUCUUCUAAUUGAACAAAACAACACAUAAAACAAACCAUGAACAUAUCAUAAUAACCUAGACAUGUUAGUUCUACUAUGAUAACAAACUCUUGAGAAAAGAGACACGACAAUGAAAACCCCAAGAGGACAUCUAGACCCGCAAUUAUCCCUACCCCCAUCGCAUAAUCAUGCAUUAUCUCUAAUGUAUUAGGCAGCAGCAAAGCAAGAGGGUUAGUAACAUACUGGUGGAACCUUAGGUGUAUAGAUCUAAUGUCAAUCACAAUAACACAAAUUUUUAGAAAUAACAAAACACCUUGGGUUGCCUUGCAAGCAAUGCUUAAUUUAAUGUUGCGGCACAACGUGAGGACCUUGAUUACUCAGACUUCAUCAAGGUAGUUAUAAGGUUAGCUUCUAAGAUCAUUUAAAUUGUUUAUUACUGAAACCACCCUCAUAUCUGUUGGGUGCUUUAAAUUUCUAUGAACAUUGAAUGUGACUUACUGAUUAUUCAACUUAAACUUACGCUUACCUCUUUCCAUAUCCACCAAUGCUCUCUCCCUAUCUAAAAUUUUCUUUCCAAAACUAUGGGCAUCUCAAAAUCAACGUCACAAUCCAAGUCAGCAAUGUCAGUCAGAGAGAUGAAGUUGUCCACCUUAACCAAAACAUUAAAUGAUAUGCCCACAAAUUUCUUAACAGUACGGUCUACUACUAAUAACCACAUCUUCAUGGGUUCGGUAGGUCUCAAGCCUAAUUUUUUGAACACUGCCAGCGACAUCAAGUUAAUUCUUGCACCCAAGUCACACAAAUCCCUGAAAAAUAUAGAUUAUCCAAUCAUACAAGAAAUUGUGAAGGAGCCAGGGUCACUUUUCUUUUGUACAAAAGAUCGAGAUGUAACCACACUAUAAUGAUAAAAAACCACCAACAUCCUCAUAACUAACAAUUCUCUUCUUUUUCACCAAAUCCUUCAUAAAUUUUGCAUAACUAGGCACCUAUUCUAGUGCUUCAAGAUGAAGGAUAUUCAUAUUCAACUCCUUCAGCAUAGAAAUAAACUUCUUAUACUAUUCUUCGCUAGCUUUCUACUUCAAUCACUGGGGAAAUGGUUAAGAAGGUUGGAGAAUAUGCUUCAGUGGUGGUGUGACCUCCUUACCCUUAUUUUAUCAUUGUCAACUCUUUUCUCUACAAUGGUAUGCUUCUAACAUCUCACUGUUUAUCGCUAACUUUUCAAUUUCAUUUUUAUCUGUAUCAUCAAUGUCCAUUAGGUCAUUCCUCACACAAUCAACCACAGAUGUAUGGAUCAAUAAUGGGCUUAACCAUCCUAGUAGUUAUAUCUAAACAAUGAAUAUCAUUCUUAAAAUUCUUAAUUAUGUUGCUAGGAAAAGUUCCUAGUUGACGCUGAAUCAAAGUAACAUACAUCUUCCUAAACAACUGCUCAAGAUGCUAAAUCGCAGUUCUCAACCCUGAUAUGUUUGCCUUAAUCUCCUUUAGGAAAUUAUCUUGGCUCUCUGAACCAUUCAUAAGAUUAGCAAGCAAUGGUUCCAUUUUCAAAAUUUUAGACUCAAGAUCACGAUUCCUUAGUGGAACAUAAAGACUAUUCUUUUUCUUGUAAUCAUUCUUUCUCCUCCAAUCACUAUCACGUUAUCUACUCUUAUCCCUAUGCCUAUCUCCGUAGUAGUUCCAACCUUGAUUCCCUUGCCUUGAGUUCUAAGUGUCUUGGUUAGACCCUUGGCCCUUGUCUUAGAAACCAAUCAUCUCUCUGUCCAAGUGCUUUGCUUCUUCUUCAGAAUCACUCUUCCUAUCUAGAUGCCUUACCUCGAAAACCUAUUACAUUUAUCUUUUCUGCUCCCAUAGCUAUACUUACUUAGUAGCAAACCAAUCUUAGUCCUUAGCUCUACUACCUCUUGUUACACUGACUCAUCUAAGGCCCUUUCUUUACUAGAAGCACCAAUAGCAUAAGUAUCGGCUAACCUGUCUGCCUCCUGAGUUUACCACUGUAAUGCCCUGAGUCUGUACCCCGAAUGCUAUAUGAUGCUCGUAAUCCGAAAGGACCAUAAGCUAAACUAUGACUGGUACCUGUUGUAAUAACUGAAUAACAAUAAUACUGAAAUAUGCAUAAAUUUGGCAGAAAACAUGUCAUAAGGUUCAAUACUAUAAAUAAUACUAAAUAUGGUAUCACAAUACCAAAAACUAAACAUCAAUACUGAAAACUGAUCAACUGUCUGAAAAUACUCUAGUCUGAAAACCCUCUAAACUAUCUGAACUGUGGAGUUGAUGAGACAGGUCCCCAACUAACUCCGACAACUGAAAAUGAACUGAAAUGCUGAAUUUCCAUCGACAUAAUGUUUAUGUAACAAUGUGUUGUCAAGUUGUUAAGAGAGGGUGUCAAAAGUGUGGUGAAUAUGUCAAGGAACUAUGCUCACGAAUUACACUGUGAAGGUGUAAUAAACUAAUGAGAAUAUAACAAAAAAUUAAAAAUGCAUCAACAUGCUAAGGAACACAAUGAUGUACUUAAUCUAAUGUUUAACAUAAUAAAAAUGCUCAAAAACAAACAUUUUCACACACUAGCAAUCAUGCUAAUAGUGCGGAAAUUUAAUAUUAAUAUACUAGGAAAUGCUAAAAAUAUCUAAAAUCUAAUAUUUAACAGGCUGAAAUUAAUGAUUUUAUGCAGAAACGCAGUUUAGACAUGAUGAAAUUUAAUUGUUUUAUGCGGAAAUACUUUUUUAACAUGCCAAAAUUUAAUAUUAGCACACUGAAAAAUGCAUUAACGUUAUUGUUUUUGACAUGCUGAAAAAUAUGUUAAUGCGCAGGAAUUUUUAUGUUAAUCAUGCUACAAUUUUAACAUGGACAUGCUUAAUUCUAAUGUUCAAUAUGCUACAAACAUAUUAAUAUGCAGAAAUUUAAUUGUUGACAUGCUCAAAAAUACUAACAUGUAAUAAGUAGUUUUAAUAUGCUGAAAUUUAGUUUAACAUGCCUAGAUUCAUUUUAAUGUGUAGAAAUUUAAUACUAUAGUGAUCUAAUAAUACUGAAAUACGUGUGAAUGUGCAAAGACAUGCUCUAAUUAUGCGGAAAUUUGUUUUAAUGUGCUGAAACAUAUUAACACGUCAAAAUCUAUUUUAAUAUGCAUACAACAUUUAAAUCCUAAAAGCAUGAUUUCUAAUCGGAUUAAUAAGUAGAUUAAUUGUCUAAGCGGUUCAUAUGUUAAUAAAUCCUAGGUUUGUGUGCCUAAAUAAUCCACAUAGCAUGUAACACACGUAAAACCUAAUUUGUGUCUAUCUAUACUAUUCAUAGAGCACGUAAAUCCCCUCCCCAAAAACAGUCCCCAAUAUUUAUUAUUACAUCAAUAGUAAUGUUUGUACAACAAUAUUACAAACCAAAUAAUAAGAAAAUAAAACUAAUACAAUCUAUUGUAAACACCCCGGCGACUCUUGCGAUUUCCAAAACAUCACUUAAUAAUACCUGUUUGAUACAAAUCGAAAGAGCACGAAAAGCACAAAAGAAACAACACAUGAUCCUAAACCACACAUUGUUUCAAACAGAGGAACCAAAGAAGAGACAUGCAUAUUAAGCAAGCAUUGUUUCAAAUUAGUGCCUAUAGACAUACUUACUAACACACUAAAUCAUUCAAUGGACAAAUAAAUAAGUAAUUAUAUCGUUUAGAUACUUACUGAUGAGCAGCGAUAAAAGAAAUAAUAAGAAUAAUAAAGCCAAUCCUUUGUAAGAGUAAUAUGCAGGAUGCUUCCUUAAGGUCCAAAAAAAAUACAAGAGGGUUUAAAGAUAUUUCUCCUCGUGUUUAAAAAAGCGAAUAGCUCUUUUGUUUUUAGAGAGUAGUGAUUGUAACUGAAGAGAUGUCCGAAGAAGAGAAGAGGGGGUCCCUUUUUAUAGUAAAGGAAUUGUGAGAGGAAAAUAAAGAGAAAAUAUUCAGCAAAUCAAUGUAGAAGUUAUUUCCCCGAAAUCAAUGGGCAGAAUCAAAAUAGCUUUGCAAAUUAUGUCAAAAUUACCAAAAAUAAGCUUGAUGAAAAAAGUUGUCCAAGUAAAGGAAAAAGGCAAGACAAUCAGUCAAGAAAAUAAAAAAAAGGUAAAGAAAUAUUCAAAAUAAUCAAUCAACCACAUUAAAUGAGAAGAAAAUUAUCAUAAUAACUACUACUGCAAGGCUCAAUAUACGUAAAAAGGAAAGCAAAAUCACAUAUUAUUAAAUUGGAAUCUGUCAAGGGAUGCAUUUCCUUAAAAUUGAUCACGAGUGUAAAUUAUGUCAAUGUAUUCCAAAAAUAAAUAAUUAGGAAAAUCAGUAAAUAAAGCACUGGAUCAGUGGGAAAUUACAUGAAGAAUGAUGUCACUAAGCAACCACAAUUAAUUGUAGAUGAGCGAGAUAGAGUCUAUGACAAGAUCAGUCUCGUCUAAUAAGAGAGAAACAAACACAUGCAAUAGCUAGCUACCUUAUGGUCACGGGAACAACUAAAAUCACUGUAAUGACACAACAAAAAAUAAUGGAUAAUAGAACGGUGUCCAAAUAAUCACGCAAGAAAAUGUAACAGUAAUAAAAUAAACUUGCACACCAAACCUAACUAACAAAUUAAUUUCAAUUAAAGCAAAAAGUUUCAAAAAAUAAAGCUAACAGUGAUCGAUAUUGUGCAGAAAAGGUUAUUCCUGCCAGAUCUGAAACGAAAACGGGAGGGGUGCCUAGUGGAGGCUCUCUGGUUGACUGGCUGGUUGGCUAGUUUUCCGCUGGCCAGAAAAUGAUGGAGCAACGAGGGGAUAUGGCUGGCGGCGGAGGCGUUCGCCGUUGUGGCAGCGGCUGUGGAGAAGGAUUCUCCGGCUAAAUGGUGAAUCGAUGGCCAGAGUUGAAAGGGGAGUUUACGCCGGCUAUUUCAGCCUGUGGGUGGACCACUCGUGGCUGGGUUUGGUUCGCCGUUGGUUGGAUGGAGAAAGAGGAGGUGGACUGGUGGUGCUCCGACCAUCAGGUGGCCAGAGAGGGAGACUGGAGCAGCAGCAGCAGUGGGGUUUUGGGCGCUGAUGACGGAGAGAGAGGGGAAAGGGGCUCGUCAGCGGUGGGAUAGCCGGCGGAGUCCAUAGUUGUAGCUUUGGUUAUUGUUGGAUAGUGAUAGAGGGAAGAAGAGAGGAAGGAAAGGGGGAGGCGAAUGGUGAAAGAAAAAAUGAUGGAUUAGGGUUUAUGUUUCCUUUGAAAGGAAAGGAUAGAGUAGGGUGAUCUCAGCCAUUGGAUCAAAAGAAUUGGGACCCUUUAAAUGUGGCUAGAAUUGUAAUAACUUGUGUAAAGUUAGGCUAAGAUUGUUAUAAAUUAGAUGUAAAAGGUUAGAGUUUAAAUAAAUUAAAUUAAGUCAGGC